rnacentral:rRNA from 1 species
AACGAACGCUGGCGGCAUGCCUAACACAUGCAAGUCGAACGAGACCUUCGGGUCUAGUGGCGCACGGGUGCGUAACGCGUGGGAAUCUGCCCUUGGGUUCGGAAUAACAGUUGGAAACGACUGCUAAUACCGGAUGAUGACGUAAGUCCAAAGAUUUAUCGCCCAAGGAUGAGCCCGCGUAGGAUUAGCUAGUUGGUGAGGUAAAGGCUCACCAAGGCGACGAUCCUUAGCUGGUCUGGGAGGAUGAUCAGCCACACUGGAACUGAGACACGGCCCAGACUCCUACGGGAGGCAGCAGUGGGGAAUAUUGGACAAUGGGCGAAAGCCUGAUCCAGCAAUGCCGCGUGAGUGAUGAAGGCCUUAGGGUUGUAAAGCUCUUUUACCCGGGAUGAUAAUGACAGUACCGGGAGAAUAAGCUCCGGCUAACUCCGUG